rnacentral:rRNA from 1 species
AUACGUAGGGUGCAAGCGUUAAUCGGAAUUACUGGGCGUAAAGCGUGCGCAGGCGGUUUUGUAAGACAGAGGUGAAAUCCCCGGGCUCAACCUGGGAACUGCCUUUGUGACUGCAAGGCUAGAGUACGGCAGAGGGGGAUGGAAUUCCGCGUGUAGCAGUGAAAUGCGUAGAUAUGCGGAGGAACACCGAUGGCGAAGGCAAACCCCAGGGCCUGUACUGACGCUCAUGCACGAAAGCGUGGGGAACAAACAAGAUUAGAUACCCUGGUAGUCCACGCCCUAAACGAUGUCAACUGGUUGUUGGGGAUUUAUUUUCUCAGUAACGAAGCGAACGCGUGAAGUUGACCGCCUGGGGAGUACGGCCGCAAGGUUAAAACUCAAAUGAAUUGACGGGG